CACUCCAGUGGCCUAGUGGUUAGAGCACCUGCCUCGGAUACAGGAGGUCAUGAGUUUGAUCCCUGGUUGAGUCA